CUUGGAAUUUGAUAGACUUGCACUUGAUGUCAUAUCACAUAAUUUUACAAAUAUUCGGAUAGUAAAUAUACAAGUUAUUGCGAAUGGGUUUAUUUCCAUUAAUCAAGUGGAAUGACAUAAAUAUCCCGGAUACUUGUUGGAUUUUAAAAAUCCAACUAUUUCAGCCGCUAUCAUCUGGAGCAGAAGUAACAUAAUAGUUAUCUGAUAUUUCUAACUAGAUCAACAGAUAUUUGAUUGAGCCCAGUUGUUAAUCUACCAGCCACCAUGGAACACAGCCAGAAAUUUCAAAUAAUAAUGAUUUGUAUCAAUUUAGAGAUUCCAG